AUUGAACGCUGGCGGCAGGCCUAACACAUGCAAGUCGAACGAGUGGCGGACGGGUGAGUAAUGUCUGGGAAACUGCCCGAUGGAGGGGGAUAACUACUGGAAACGGUAGCUAAUACCGCAUACCAUCGGAUGUGCCCAGAUGGGAUUAGCUAGUAGGUUGGGUAAAGGCUCACCCAGGCGACGAUCCCUAGCUGGUCUGAGAGGAUGAACAGCCACACUGGCACUUAGACACGGUCCAGACUCCUACGGGAGGCAGCAGUGGGGAAUAUUGAACAAUGGGGGCAAUCCUGAUGCAGCCAUCCCGCGUGUAUGAAGAAGGCCUUCGGGUUGUAAAGUACUUUCAGCGAGGAGGCGUUACUCGCAGAAGAAGCACCGGCUAACUCCGUGCCAGCAGCCGCAGUAAUUC
rnacentral:rRNA from 1 species